rnacentral:rRNA from 1 species
GACGAACGCUGGCGGCGUGCUUAACACAUGCAAGUCGAACGGAAAGGCCUCUUUCGGGGGGUACUCACGUGGCGAACGGGUGAGUAACUCGUGAGUAACUUGCCUUUGUAUUUGGGUUAACUUACGGCAACUGGGGGUAAUACCGGACAGGUGAUCUUGUUGCCCGGAGGGGUUUGGAGAGUUUCGGCGGUUGGGGGUGGAUUGGCGGCUUAUCCGCUUGUCGGUGGGGUAGUGGCUUACCAAGGCUUUGCCGGGUAGCCGGCCUGAGGGGGUGACCGGCCACAUUGAGACCUAGAUGCGGCACAGACACCUACGGGAGGCAGCAGUGGGGAAGAUUGAACGAUGGGCGGAAGCCUGAUGCAGCAAGGCCGUGCGCGGGAUGACGGCCUUCGUGUUGUAAAACGCUUUCGCUCAUGACGAAGCUUUGUUUGACGGUAGUGGGUAAAGAAGCACCGGCUAACUACGUG